UGGAGUAUAGCUCAGUGAUAGAGCACUUGCCUAGCAUGCACAAGUGCCUGGGUUUAAUCCCCAGGACUCUAC
rnacentral:tRNA from 1 species